UACGUAGGGCGCAAGCGUUGUCCGGAAUUAUUGGGCGUAAAGAGCUCGUAGGCGGCCUGUUGCGUCUGCUGUGAAAUCCCGGGGCUUAACCCCGGGCGUGCAGUGGAUACGGGCAGGCUGGAGGCAGGCAGGGGAGAACGGAAUUCCCGGUGUAGCGGUGAAAUGCGCAGAUAUCGGGAGGAACACCGGUGGCGAAGGCGGUUCUCUGGGCCUUACCUGACGCUGAGGAGCGAAAGCGUGGGGAGCGAACAGG
rnacentral:rRNA from 1 species